rnacentral:rRNA from 1 species
GAUGAACGCUGGCGGCGUGCCUAAUACAUGCAAGUCGAGCGAAAAGACGAGGAGCUUGCUCCUCUGACGUUAGCGGCGGACGGGUGAGUAACACGUGGAUAACCUACCUAUAAGACUGGGAUAACUUCGGGAAACCGGAGCUAAUACCGGAUAAUAUAUUGAACUGCAUGGUUCAAUAGUGAAAGACGGUUUUGCUGUCACUUAUAGCUGGAUCCGCGCCGCAUUAGCUAGUUGGUAAGGUAACGGCUUCCAAGGCAACGAUGCGUAGCCGAACUGAGAGGUUGAUCGGCCACACUGGAACUGAGACACGGUCCAGACUCCUACGGGAGGCAGCAGUAGGGAAUCUUCCGCAAUGGGCGAAAGCUUGACGGAGCAACGCCGCGUGAGUGAUGAAGGUCUUCGGAUCGUAAAACUCUGUUAUUAGGAAAGAACAAAUGUGUAAGUAACUAUGCACGUCUUGACGGUACCUAAUCAGAAAGCCACGGCUAACUACGUG